GUUCUUGCACCUAUCUUUCUUCAUAAUGCCAAGGGCUGAGGAGAGGAGAUUCAUGAUAUGUCACCCUUCCCAAUGUGGGACUAUACCAACCAUCUGCUCCUGUCAUUGUAGGGAGACUGAAGUUUGCUAACACUAUUGCAUUUGGACACCCGACCCAGGGUACUUACACCACACUCUUGAUUAGCCUAUUUGGUUUUAUCUGGAUCUUCUCUUACCUUCACCGCUGUCUUCUGAAGAGGCCAAGACCAGAGCUUCUCAGCUGAUAAUAUGCCUGGGUUUAAUUUCCUGCGGAAUUGAAUUGAGGAAUGAAAAUACGCAGCUGGUGCACUGCCUUUAGUAAACUCAGGUACGUCUCUGAUGCCUGUAUAAGAAACUUGCUGCAAUCUCUCCUUCCUCCGCUCACUUCUCUG
ensembl:lncRNA